AUUGAACGCUGGCGGCAGGCCUAACACAUGCAAGUCGAGCGAGCGGCGGACGGGUGAGUAAUGUCUGGGGAUCUGCCCGAUCGAGGGGGAUAACUACUGGAAACGGUGGCUAAUACCGCAUACUAUCGGAUGAACCCAGAUGGGAUUAGCUAGUAGGUGGGGUAAAGGAUCACCUAGGCGACGCUCUCUAGCUGGUCUGAGAGGAUGAUAAGCAACACUGGAACGGAGAAACGGUCCAGACUCCUACGGGAGGCAGCAGGGGGGAAUAUUGCACAAUGGGCGCAAGCCUGAUGCAGCCAUGCCGCGUGUAUGAAGAAGGCCUUAGGGGUGGAAAGUACUUUCAGCGGGGAGGCGUUACCCGCAGAAGAAGCACCGGCUAACUCCGUGCCAGCAGCCGCGGUAAUAC
rnacentral:rRNA from 1 species